rnacentral:rRNA from 1 species
CCUCAAAUCAGGUAGGACUACCCGCUGAACUUAAGCAUAUCAAUAAGCGGAGGAAAGGAAACUAACAAGGAUUCCCUUAGUAGCGGCGAGCGAAGCGGGAAGAGCUCAAAUUUGAAAGCUGGCGUCCUUCGGGCGUCCGCAUUGUAAUCUAUAGAGGCGUUUUCUGUGCUGGACCGUGUCCAAGUCCCUUGGAACAGGGUAUCAAAGAGGGUGACAAUCCCGUACUUGACACGACAACCAGUGCUCUGUGAUACGUCUUCUACGAGUCGAGUUGUUUGGGAAUGCAGCUCAAAAUGGGUGGUGAAUUCCAUCUAAAGCUAAAUAUUGGCGAGAGACCGAUAGCGAACAAGUACCGUGAGGGAAAGAUGAAAAGCACUUUGGAAAGAGAGUUGAACAGUAUGUGAAAUUGUUGAAAGGGAAACGAUGGAGGUCAGUCGUGUCUGUGGGAUUCAGCCGUCUCUGGCGGUGUACUUCCCACAGACGGGUCAACAUCAGUUUUGGUCGGCGGAUUAAGGCAGGAGGAAGGUGGCACCCUCGGGUGUGUUAUAGCCUCUUGUCGCAUACGCUGGCUGAGACUGAGGAAUGCAGCUCGCCUUUAUGGCCGGGGUUCGCCCACGUUCGAGCUUAGGAUGUUGACAUAAU